CUGGAAUUAGCACAGUCCAAGAUCAGCACAACAAGGGAUUCUGGUGAGGAGUCCAGGGCGAGGGAACCACCAGCUUAUAGAAAAGUGGGUUAAAUCUUUCGUUUGCAUUCAACCAGUCACGGCGCCAAACAGUGGCUAGCUUAGGAAGGUCCAGCGUGGCCUUUGAGAAAGGAUUUGUCAAUGAGCACCCUCCAUCAUUUUGCAUUAGGAAGAGCCAGUUGUCAAUGGAACCACAGCAGCGUGCACCAUCUGCUACAGCCAUUCGGAUAAUUUCACCAUCCGGGAUGCUCAGGAAGUUCCUAUCAAGGAGGGUGAGCCAUGGGAGUGGAAGGGGCAGGGACUGCAGUCGAGCAUUGGAUCGCCACGGUUAACAGACUGCUCUCAGUCGAACACGAUCAGCUAGAGAGGGAAGGCGCUUAAGGACAAGGCCUAGGAGCUCUGGAGUGAGAUCCGACCAAGUCAAAGAUUCUGCAGCUGUCAUCAUCAAGGUCUACAAGAGAAGUAAUAGGUUUCAGAGUUUAAUAUAGUAAAUAGUUGAGAGUAACAGGAAAUAAGUUAGCAGUACAAUCAAAAUCUGAAGAUGUCCAGCCUCAGACCAGAAAAAGUACACUGCUCUACAGCCUGGUGCUGCACUACUUAUGCUUGAUCAUUGUAGUUUCUAAUGUGAUCACAGUAGUCCAGUCGACAGGAAACAUUAAAGCCAUUUAUUUGAUAUAAUAAGGUAACUGCAACUACACAUAGGAAUGUUUUAGAACUCAAGGUGCGAUGCUAAAGUAGAAGCCAUGAUCUUUUCCUCCAAUAUCAACCAGAACUAACAAGGCAACAACAAGCAGGAGUACAAUGAAUUUCGAGGAAAAUACCUUGACAUUUGCAAUGCCUUAAUGUUCACAAGACAAUGUUGCACGGUAUUCCUUUUUUAGAUGCAAAGGCCAGAUGGCAUUUUGUAUUUUUAUAGAUACAGGAGCAUCAGUUAAAGCAAUAUGUUAAGUCAAAUACUGCUAUUCAGGACAAGGCAUGCCAUUUCUUAAAGAUGAUGCUCCAAAAUCAAUGGGUAUGCACUAGAUCUAAGUACUAGAACUCAAAAUCAUAAAGUUUUUAUCAUAUCUGCCUUACAUAUCCUCCACUACCAAGCUUAGAACUUUUAAUUUUUAUUUAUUUUGCAAUCAAAGUUUCAGCGCCCUCGCUCCAGGCGACCCCACCUCCGGCAGAAAAGCCCCCCUCCACAUCGUGGGAUGUAAGCUCCAAGCAGUGGUUCUGGUGCCCUGGGACGCCCGGAUCCGGCGAGGAAUUGCCCGAGACAGCUUGAUUCGAGUUCGAGCUGCUCCUCACCUGAAUCCGAUGCUUAUUAUAAAACAAGAUUCAGUUGGGACUUGGGAUGUGCUAAUGGUGGCUCGUGGGCGCACGGAUCCGGGCACAUUCGCCCAGCUUAGAACAAUAAAAAAAUUUUGACCCAAACGGUAGACCCUCCACAGAUUACGGCGCUAAACAUGAGAAUAUUGAGAAAGGAGCAGCGAGGCUGAGGCCGUGCCACUUACUCGUGAUGGCCUGAUGGCCAGUCGGAGAGGGGAGGAGGUGGAGCCGACUCCGCUGCCAGCUGCCGCGAGUCCGCGACGGGGGCGGAGUGCCCGCUGGAGCUCUCCGUGGUGGUUCGAUGAAUCGCAGUACAGUCACUGUGGCCUGAUCUUUGGGUGGGAUGGGGAGAAGGGGAAAGGUGCCCGGCAUUAGGGUGCGUUUGGUUUGGAGACAAGAUGGGAUGGGACGGUGCCGUCUCUAUUUUUUGGGAUGGGAUCAUCCCGUCUGCUGUUUGGUUGAGAGGGAUGAAUUCAUCCCAGUUUUUUGUUUGGUACGAUGGAUUGAAAACGAGGGACGGAUGGCUCGGGUAACACCGUUAGCUGCAUGUGUUUAGUGGGACCCACAUGUCAUAUAUGGGCCCACAUGUCAUCGUCUUUUCUUUUUUUUUUCUCCUAACCCGUAUCUUCUCCAACGCUCCCUGCCGCCCCAAGCCGUGCCGCCCCCGCUGGAGCUCCCUACCGCCCCCGCCGGAGCUCCCUGCCGCCCAGGCCGUGGGCACCGGCCGCGGCACCGGGGGCGCUCGCCCCGCCGGCCGCUCGCCCCGCUCGCCCCAGGGGCCGCGGCGGAGCUCGCCCGUGCCGGCCGUGGCGGAUCUCGCGCCCGCCGGCCGGGGCGGAGCUCGCCCGCGCCGGCCCCUCCGCCCACAGCUCGUCCGCCGGCCGGGGCGGAGCUCGCCCGCGCCGGCCCCUCCGCCGGCGGCUCGCCCGCCGCCGGGGCGGAGCUCGCCCGCGCCGGCCCCUCCGCCCGCAGCUCGUCCGCCGGCCGGGGCGGAGCUCGCCCGCGCCGGCCCCUCCGCCGGCGGCUCGCCCGCCGCCGGGGCGGAGCCCCACCGGUGCAGACGGCGCGUGACGGGGGCGAAGUGGGAUGCCCCCGUCCGCUCGUUUUGGUGGGACGGGGGCAUCCCGCAUCUGGAGGGUAUAUUCCCUCGUAGGGAUGUCCCCGUCCCACCUGUCCUCCAACCAAACGCGGGACGAAGUGGGAUCGUCCCGUCCCGUCCCACUUCGUCCUCGCAACCAAACGCACCCUUAAUGUCUCGCAGAAUGCUCAGGUAACUUCGUACUUCUGCAGUGUACUAUACAACAAAGAAAGAAAGAAUACAUGAGCAUGGAGCUGUAGGAUUCAUCUUUUGAUUUCUAGCUGGAAAUUGGGAAACAGAAAAUCCGGAGGAGAUCAGCGGAUUCAGGUUUUUCCACGCGUUGCUGCUCCCUUCCUACCGCUGAAGCACUGACGAGCUCGGUUUGUGUUGAUGGGGAUCAGGCUACAGGCCAACAGCAACAUCACCAUUCACCAAUGCUGCUGCUGCAUCAGGCAUUUCACAAUUUUGAGCAGUUUCGACAUUUCUUUUUCACAGAAGCAGCAGCUCUGAACAGAGGAAAGAGCGACGCAAGCUAGGUUUCUCAGGUACCAUACUUCAACAGCAGCAGCAACACCAGCAAAACUAAAGAUACUGAAAGGUUCAGCACCCAGCGAUUGAAUCACGCGCCCCCUUGAUCAAAGCUUACAGACCAUAAACUACGACAGUUACUUUAACAUUUGCAGGAAUAGAGAGAGAGAGUCCAUCAUUAGCAAAAUACCAGCCGGCUAUGGUUGGCGAUCAUCAGGCGACAGCAAACCUUUAGCCUUGCUGCUUGCACCAAUUUUAGCAAUAGCAUCAAUUUUUUAAUUUUUAGUCUCAUCUUACUAAAAUGAUUAAAAAAUCCCAGAACAACGAACGCGCAACAGAAGCUCAGGCUGCUCAUAUACCAGAACAUAAACAGCAGCAGCAACACUUGCAGGACUGCUGAAUAGCAGUAUUGGUUGACGUUUGCUUCCACUGACUUAUUUUUAGCACGUGUCACAUCGAAUGUUUAGAUACUAACUAGGAGUAUUAAACGUAGACUAUUUAGAAAACCCAUUACAUAAGUGGAGGCUAAACGACGAGACGAAUCUAUUAAGCCUAAUUAAUCCAUCAUUAGCAAAUGUUUACUGUAGCAACACAUUGUCAAAUCAUGGACUAAUUAGGCUUAAUAGAUUCGUCUCGCCGUUUAGCCUUCACCGUUUAGCCUCCACUUAUGUAAUGGGUUUUGUAAAUAGUCUACGUUUGAUACUCCUAAUUAGUAUCUAAACAUUCGAUGUGACGGAUGCUAAAAAUAAGUUAGUGGAAGCAAACGGGGGUACGGGGGAACAGGUUAAAAUCAACAUGGCAAAAAGAAAGACUAUCAUCAAGCAUACGUCAUGCACAUAAUGACAUAAGACAUUAGUCUUGUACUCCCUCCGUCCCAAAUUAUAGGUUGUUUUAGCUCUUCUAGAUUCGUAUAUUUUGCUAUGCACUUAGAUAUACACUAUGUCUAUAUGCAUAGCAAAGGCUACGCAUCUAGAAAUGCCAAAACGACCUGUAAUUUAGAACGGAGGGAGUAGAUAAUUGUUAAUAUGGUUCAACAACAAAGCACUAAUGCACUAACAAGUAGAUAUCAGAUAACAUUUAAGAGUACACACUGCAUAGUACUACAUAAUCCCAAUACACUAACCAAGGCAAGUUAGUUCGACACUUCGACUAUAUAGAAUCAGCCGGAAAGAACCAUGUUGGACGCCAGUGGCCACCAUGAUGCUGCGGCACUGUAGCGGUCUGUGACAACAACGGGGUGAUCGUCCCAUUUCUCAAGUUGUACACGCCAGAGUCACGAAGAGGAUCCGCAGCAGAAUCUGGCCAAGGAUAGUCACACAUGAAAUAUAUGCAAUCCUCUUGAAUUCCAUUGUACUCUUUAGCAGCAAAAGACUUCGAGCAAUGUCUGCCAACGAAUAGAGCUUGGCCGCCCAACUUAUUGACCCGUCUCCAAUGACCAGGAUUGGUGCUCAAAUCUGCCUCAAAAACAUCAAAUGCAACAGUGCGAUCAUGCUCAAAGGAAAGACUUCUGUGAUCGGGAUGGUCAUUGUGAAUAAACCGUUCAACCUUCAACAGUCCACCACAACAUUCAACUAGGUAUUCCCUCCACAUGUAUGCCUUCUCGUUGGAUAAGGAUUGGGGCAAGUCCCAUAAAUCAUCAUCCCUGGAGUUGAUUAUGCAUUCAGUGGCUGAGAUCUUCGGCUUACAGCCAAGGUCAUAACCAAUCUCAAAGAUAACGAGCUUGUCACCAAAAGCAACUCCGUAUAGCUUCCCAUUGAAGAAAGCAACAUCAAACAGGCACCGAGAUGGUUCCAUGUGCCUCCCUCUGGAUAUGUCAGUAGCAACUGGCGGCUGGCAAAUACAAACUGUACUGGAAUUAGCACUGUCCAAGAUCAGCACAGCAACAAGGGAUUCUGGUGAGGAGUCCAGGGGCGAGGGAACCACCAGCUUAUAGAAAAGUGGGUUAAAUCCUUCGUUUGCAUUCAACCAAUCACGGCGCCAAACAGUGGCUAGCUUAGGAAGGUCCAGCGUGGCCUUUGAGAAAGGAUUUGUCAAUGAGCACCCUCCAUCAUUUUGCAUUAGGAAGAGCCAGUUGUCAAUGGAACCACAGCAGCAUGCACCAUCUGCUACAGCCAUUUGGAUAAUUUCACCAUCCG
rnacentral:lncRNA from 1 species